rnacentral:rRNA from 1 species
GACAGAGGAGGCAAGCGUUAUCCGGAAUUAUUGGGCGUAAAGCGCGUGUAGGCGGCUUGGCAAGUCGGGUGUGAAAUCCCGAGGCUCAACCUCGGAACUGCACUCGAAACUGCCUGGCUCGAGUCCCGGAGAGGGUGGCGGAAUUCCCGGUGUAGAGGUGAAAUCCGUAGAUAUCGGGAGGAACACCAGUGGCGAAGGCGGCCACCUGGACGGUGACUGACGCUGAGACGCGAAAGCGUGGGGAGCAAACAGG